UUUUUUUCUCCGUGAGAGUGUUUGACUGGAAAGACAGACUGUGGAGACGUGUUUGAGACGACACACAGGCUGCAUCCGAAAUUCGUGUGUGUAACCUCUUCUCCAUCUGCCACACACAUCUCUACCUAGCACAGGCUGCUCUUCAUCUGCGUCUGAUGAUGACAACCAUGCGCCAUCAAGCCGAGGAUCAACCUCAGGCCAUGUUGUGUCAUCGGCGGCUGACUUGUCUUGACUGGUCAUUACAAACCAAGUUCAUUCUAUACAGCAAGAGGAGAAAGCAAAUUGUCAUCAUAACAGCGAAGCCUCCAUAACACAAGUAAGCUAUGUCAUCCGUCAUGGAAAAGUUGGAUAACUGAAAAAAUGUGGUGACGGUGAAAUUCAGAAAAUGAGCAACAUACCCAAAAACGAAAAGUUCGAAGUGCUGGACAUUCAGAAAAUUGACACUAUGUAUGGCGAGGCCGUAUACGUGGAGCUCCGCAUGGAAAACGACAAGCCAGUGAAAGUGUAUCUACCUGGACGCUUCAAAAAAUUGUCGGAGGAAGAGCUAGAGGAAAUGCGACUGCUUCCAAAUCUCAAAAUGGAGAAGAAAGAACGGUUUACCAAAGAUGGUAAAAAAGUCAUUUUGCCAGAUAUUAUCUUCACCAAUUCGAAGAGAAAGUGAUGAGAUAUGGUGACGUGUCACUUAUGCUCCCAGCACGAACGGCAGUAUUAUGCAACAGCAUUAGGUCUUCAGAUUCACUUGGCAAAUGUUCACAAUCUUCAAGCCCCCUGCAUUCCUUUUUGUGAGACUUUGUGCACACUGCGAAACUAUACUAAUCGGUUCGAGCUACAUUUACACGACAGGGACGUUAGCGGACAUGAUGUUACAACCUUUUUUCACGAGUACAGACAGUACAUUGCUGAUGUCUUACGACACUUUGGUUUCCCACUGCGCUAUUUUGUAUUGCUUAAAGUGGAACUUGGUCGUCACACGCCAGACGAUGAGUUACAGCUCGAAAUUAGUUUCGUGCCUUCCAAAGUAGUGACAGUAUGGUCAGAGGC